rnacentral:siRNA from 1 species
UGGACAAAUCAUAAGAGGAUGGAA